rnacentral:rRNA from 1 species
UACGAAGGGGGCUAGCGUUGCUCGGAAUCACUGGGCGUAAAGCGCACGUAGGCGGAUUGCUAAGUCAGGGGUGAAAUCCUGGAGCUCAACUCCAGAACUGCCUUUGAUACUGGCAACCUUGAGUCCGGGAGAGGUGAGUGGAACUGCGAGUGUAGAGGUGAAAUUCGUAGAUAUUCGGAAGAACACCAGUGGCGAAGGCGACUUACUGGACACAUAUUGACGCUGAGGUGCGAAAGCGUGGGGAGCAAACAGG